GAAUGAACGGCUAAAUGAAGACCCAGCUGUCUCUUGCAGCCUACCAAUGAAACUGAUCUCUUAGUCCAAAAGCUAAGAUUUCUUCACAAGACGAGAAGACCCUGUGGAGCUAUUAAACCAAACUCAUAAAAAUGACCCCUUGGUUUUCAGUUGGGGCGACUUCGGAGCAUAAAAAACCCUCCGACACAAAACCAAUAAACCUAGAUGGACACAUCAACACUCCAAGACCCAGUAGCUUGUUUUCAAGCUGCCUGAUCAAUGAACCAAGUUACCCCAGGGAUAACAGCGCCAUCCUCUCUUAGAGUCCCUAUCGACGAGAGGGCUUACGACCUCGAUGUUGGAUCAGGACA
rnacentral:rRNA from 1 species